rnacentral:rRNA from 1 species
UUGAGCGCUGAGGUUCUUGAGUGCAGGAGAGGAGAGUGGAAUUCCAUGUGUAGCGGUGAAAUGCGUAGAUAUAUGGAGGAACACCGGUGGCGAAAGCGGCUCUCUGGCCUGGAACUGACACUGAAGCUCGAAAGCGUGGGGAGCAAACAGGAUUAAAUACCCUGGUAAUCCACGCCGUAAACGAUGAGUGCUAAAUGUAGGGAGCUAUAAGUUCUCUGUAUCGCAGCUAACGCAAUAAGCACUCCGCCUGGGGAGUACGACCGCAAGGUUGAAACUCAAAGGAAUUGACGGGGGCCCGCACAAGCGG